rnacentral:misc_RNA from 1 species
AACGCACCUUCGCUCCUUGGUAUUCCGAGGAGCAUGCCUGUUUGAGUGUCAUGGUAUUCUCAACCCUCCUGUGAUUUCUUUUUAAAGAUUGCAGCUGGGCUUGGACUUGGAGGUUUAUUGCUGGCAUCCUUUGUUGGAUGUGGGCUCCUCUGAAAAGCAUUAGCUGGAAUAUUGCCGAGCAUGAUUCAAUGUGAUAAUUGUCUACGUUGCUUCAACUUGGUGUUAAUUCUGUUCUAGCUUCUAAACGUCCUCUGGACAAUAUCUGAACAUCUGACCUCAAAUCAGGUAGGACUACCCGCUGAACUUAA